CCAGAAUAAUUCUGAAAUGGACGUUCAAACCUAUAAAGGCUCUGAGCUUGGGUCUGAAUUCCAAAGAAUUGGCUUAAACCCAAAUGUGAAACGGUUUCAUUGUGGUAAUAAACUUGGUGCUGAAGGUCAAACUCCUGUUGAGACAACCUCUUUGGACACUUCCACCUAUCAGAGAACAGAAAGAAGGACUAGUUUUUAUAAUAACGGUACUCAAUUAGAGGAAUGUAACACUGAUGCAUCCAACAACCGGACACUACAUGAGGAAACCCCAAGUGGCACUUCAUUCUCUGAUGUAGUUUGUUGUCCUGUAGUCCUGCAGGAGAUGCAUACUGUUAAGGUGCUGGAGGGCAGAUGCGUGUUGGACUUGUGUUUGGUGCGGUGGCCAUCGGAGGAAUGGUGCAUAUGUGUGGCAGGAGACUGGACCGUUUGCCUUUGGACUCAGAUGAAGGGAGUUCAGUCGUGGAGUCUUUUACACACCUGGACAUUCACACAGGUAAACCAAUUUGCUACAGCAUUUCAGCAUAAAGGGUCAGUUAAAAGGUCAAUUCACCCAAAAAUAUCAUUUACUUUAAUCUUACAGACAUUAAUUAAAGUAUAAGUAAAAUAAAAACAAAAUAUAAGAUAUAUGUAAAAUAGAUCCCUCUGAUUUGACUUCUGUGUUUGUAUUUGUAGUCUGUCAUGUCUUUGCAAGAUAUUCCAGACUCUCCAGGAUUGCUUUGUGUGACUCUGGGUCACUUGGAAAUCACUGAGGCAAGGUAAUAAAAAUGGCAUAAUAUAAACACCAAAAUAACUAUUGGAUGAACCAAAACUAUGACAUUUUUCACUCCCUUCAACACAUUUUUUUUCAUUCUGAACACAAAUCCUAGGGCCACUGCACUGUGUUAUCUUCAAGAUUUGGUUUUUAUGUUGUAGAACUCAAACUUAAAAGCUAAUCUUAUUCCUUAUGUUUUCUUGAGUGCAGGAUUCUCUGCUGUCCAGGUAUGGAUGGGUCGUUCUCUCAGAACGCAGUGUGCAAUGACACGUUACAAGCAGUGUUAGGUGUGUCUAGUUGUCGGCUUGUGUGUUGCUCCACCCCUGGAGAUCAACAAAGAGUCAGUGUGUUAACAGUGACUCAAGAGGGAGGGUAAUAAAGCAUCAUGUUUAUGUUAAACACCUGUGUCUAUUAACUUUUUAAUGUAUCAUUGACUUGAAAUAUUUAAGCAAAACUAUUUAUUUACUUGCUUCAUUCAGGGUAGUGAACACUCUUCUCCUGGCCUCUGCUAAGCAGAACAUUCGGACCCUUGCAGCUGUAGAGGGGGAAAAAGAUGCUCUGAUUGGUUGGACAGAAUGUAAAACCCUCCUUAUAUGGUGAUGAAUUUGGCAACAUUGAGUUUUAAAUGUCUUGGAAAGUCUUUUUUUAACUGUAUCAAUCCUAUACAUCCUUUAAGGUAUAAUUAAAUUUGAUUAAAUUAAAAUUAGCUGAAAAUGUACUCACCUCCAGGCCUUCCAAAAUGUGUAAGUUUGUUUCUUUGGAACGGAUUUGGUGAAAUUUAGCAUUACAUGACUUGCUCAGCAAUGGAUCCUUUGCAGUGAAUGGGUGCCGUCAGAAUAAGAGUCCAAACAACUGAAUAAAAACAUCACAAUAAUUCACAAGUAAGCAACUAAUGUAAUCCACUUUGUGAGCAAGUGAUGUAAUGCUAAAUUUCUCCAAAUCUGUCCCAAUGAAGAAACAAACUCCUUUAUACUUGGAUGGCCUGAGAGUGAGUAAAUUGUAAGCAAAUUUUCAUGGCUGAAAUAUUCCUUUAAAUUUGAUCAAAUUAUUUUCUGAUGUGGUACUAAAGACUAAGCAGAAUUUAGAGUCAAUUUUGUAUGUGUUUUCAGCACAUUAUUUGUAGUUAUAUAUAUAUCUUUUGUUAGAAUUUGAAUUUUAUAAUUGAUUAUUGCUUUGGUCAUGCUUGCGAAUUUCAGGAACAUGAAAACAGGCCAGCUGCUUCAGACUAUAUACCUGGAAAGGACUUUAACCAUGACAAACUGCAUGAAGGGAUAUUCUUACAGAGUAAGCCAGUGUAUUGCUCUUGUGUCAGUGAGUGUGUGUUAAAAGAAUGAGUAUGUGCCAGUGAAUACAGUGAUAAACGCUUUCUUUCCUGCAGGGUGUGCUGUGUUACUUCAGAAUGCAGGAAAUGUGUGUGAUAAAGAGAUUAAUGCAUCUCCUUUUACUCUGAUUGCCACAAAUCCUCUCACUGGCAAACACAUCACACUGACUUCUAUCAACUAUCCUGAUCAAGACAAACAGCAGUAAGACUAGAAGCAAUACAUGUUGUAGUUUAAGAACACAAUGUUAGCAGAAAAAUCAAAUCAGUACAUAUUUGUCUCUUUAUCAGGGUUAAAGAUGGUAAUGUCUUGGGCUCUGGGCUUGUUGGUAUUUUCCAGUCUGGUCAUCUUGCUGUUUGGGAUCUCAGAAGAAGCGUGUGCUGGAUGAGUUACAGCUGCUGGCUGGAUAUCUGAAUGGGGAUGUUAGAGUGUUUCAUUAUACAUCUACAUAAAUAGACCAUACAUCUCUAAUCAGCAAAUUGUUUGCAAUCACUUUAUUAUUAUUCAUUAAUGCCAUGUUAAAUGAUAAAUAUAAAAAAAAUGUUACAGAAGGUGUUUGUUGAUUACAGUUAAUAUAAGCAUUACAAGAGAAAUAUUUGUACUGUUUGGAUGUGAUAUGUAAAGUAUAUUUUACAAAAUAAAAUAUAAAUCUGUGAAUCGACUUAAACACUUUUAAUGGCUUUAAUGUUGAGAUUAAAGUUUUUAGCUGAGAGAAUGUCAAACUGUAUAAAUCUGUAUUGUCCACAACUAAUAUGUAACGAAACAUUCAUAAUCACAUUUAUAUGAUAAUCAGAUGUGAGACGUGUGCGUGUGUAUACAACUGUUUUUAUACAGUCUAUGGUAUACACACAUUAAUAAAGAGG
rnacentral:lncRNA from 1 species